GAUGUGAUAUGCUUCACUGCUCUUGGAGGAUCGAAACAGUUCGUAUGAGUAGCAGGCUAUUCCAAAUCAGACAUUGAAAGGUUUUGAUAAAAUUGACUUGAUUAAGGAGGAAGUAGAACAAGCAUGUCCUGGCAUUGUGUUUUAUGCUGACAUUAUUGCUCUUGCAUCAAGAGAUAUUGUUCUUUUGGAACCACAAAAGUGGGCAGUUAAGAAGGUGCCUAUAUUUGGCAUUUUAUAUUCAAAUAGAAGAUAAGCAGAAGCCAUGAAGUAACUUUUUUAUGUUCAUUGAUGUUUAAAGGACAAUGAACUAUGCAAACCUUCCUUUAUUUUCCUUUACAUGGAAUAUUAUCAAAGGCACUAAGGUGAAUAACCCGACUAGGAAUUGGAUAAGCAGAGAGGGGUUUUACAGGAAAUAAAGGUAUCUGCACAGUCAGACCUGCGGCACCAGGUUUCCCUUGUUGUCCAUCCAAUCAGGAACCUUAAAUGUUUAUUUUGUUUCAUGUGAUAAAUAUUGGGAUAUGGAGAG